GUGGGGAAUAUUGCACAAUGGGGGGAACCCUGAUGCAGCGAUGCCGCGUGGAGGAAGAAGGUUUUCGGAUUGUAAACUCCUGUCGUAAGGGAAGAAAAAGGACGGUACCUUACAAGAAAGCUCCGGCUAACUACGUGCCAGCAGCCGCGGUAAUACGUAGGGAGCGAGCGUUGUCCGGAAUUACUGGGUGUAAAGGGAGCGUAGGCGGGAUUGCAAGUCAGAUGUGAAAACUAUGGGCUUAACCUGUAGACUGCAUUUGAAACUGUAGUUCUUGAGUGAAGUAGAGGUAAGCGGAAUUCCUAGUGUAGCGGUGAAAUGCGUAGAUAUUAGGAGGAACAUCGGUGGCGAAGGCGGCUUACUGGGCUUUUACUGACGCUGAGGCUCGAAAGCGUGGGGAGCAAACAGGA
rnacentral:rRNA from 1 species